rnacentral:rRNA from 1 species
UACGGGGGGGGCUAGCGUUGUUCGGAAUUACUGGGCGUAAAGGGCGCGUAGGCGGUCUGCUAAGUUGGAUGUGAAAACUCUGGGCUUAACCCAGAGCCUGCAUUCAAUACUGACAGGCUAGAGUUCUGGAGGGGAUAGCGGAAUUCCUGGUGUAGCGGUGAAAUGCGUAGAUAUCAGGAAGAACACCCGUGGCUAAGGCGGCUCUCUAGUACGGUACUGACGCUGAGACGCGAAAGCGUGGGGAGCGAACAGG